AAGUCGUAACAAGGUCUCCGUUGGUGAACCAGCGGAGGGAUCAUUACAGGACUCGCAAGACUCCUACAACCCUGUGAACCUACUAUACGAACGUUGCUUCGGCGGGUGCGCCCCGGGGAUUCGUUCCCGAGGCGCGUCAGCCCGCCGGCAGUCUACAAAUUCUGUUUCUUUGCGUUGGCAUCUCGAGAAAAAACAAAUAAGUUAAAACUUUCAACAACGGAUCUCUUGGUUCUG
rnacentral:misc_RNA from 1 species